rnacentral:rRNA from 1 species
CGCCCAGACUCCUACGGGAGGCAGCAGUGGGGAAUAUUGCACAAUGGGCGCAAGCCUGAUGCAGCCAUGCCGCGUGUAUGAAGAAGGCCUUCGGGUUGUAAAGUACUUUCAGCGGGGAGGAAGGGGUUAAGGUUAAUAACCUUAGCCAUUGACGUUACCCGCAGAAGAAGCACCGGCUAACUCCGUGCCAGCAGCCGCGGUAAUACGGAGGGUGCAAGCGUUAAUCGGAAUUACUGGGCGUAAAGCGCACGCAGGCGGUCUGUCAAGUCGGAUGUGAAAUCCCCGGGCUCAACCUGGGAACUGCAUUCGAAACUGGCAGGCUGGAGUCUUGUAGAGGGGGGUAGAAUUCCAGGUGUAGCGGUGAAAUGCGUAGAGAUCUGGAGGAAUACCGGUGGCGAAGGCGGCCCCCUGGACAAAGACUGACGCUCAGGUGCGAAAGCGUGGGGAGCAGACAGGAUUAGAUACCCCCGUAUUA